rnacentral:rRNA from 1 species
CAGCCGCCACGGUAAUACGUAGGUGGCAAGCGUCGUCCGGAAUUAUUGGGCGUAAAGGGCUCGCAGGCGGUUUCUUAAGUCUGAUGUGAAAGCCCCCGGCUCAACCGGGGAGGGUCAUUGGAAACUGGGAAACUUGAGUGCAGAAGAGGAGAGUGGAAUUCCACGUGUAGCGGUGAAAUGCGUAGAGAUGUGGAGGAACACCAGUGGCGAAGGCGACUCUCUGGUCUGUAACUGACGCUGAGGAGCGAAAGCGUGGGAAGCGAACAGGAUUAGAUACCCGUGUAGUCCCUGUCUCUUAUAC